rnacentral:lncRNA from 1 species
GAGACCGCGGUUUAUAAAACAUUUACAACCAAAGUAAAUGCUGACAAAUAUUUGCUUAUUUUUGAAAACAUUUGUCGGAUGUAUUUAUGUACGUAAAGAAAUGCAUUUUAUUUACUUCAUAGUUAGUAUAUGAAACAUUGAUACUGUUAAGUUGUCUUCACACAGGUAUAGCUUUGCGAGACUGCAGUUUAUAUCUCGCAUGCACAACAAACGUAAAUGAGGGUCGUGGUUAGAGCUAAAAGAAGAAAAAAAGAAAAUAAUUUACUCCCAAAAAAUUAGAUAAAAAGGGUCUAAUAUAUAUACAGAAUAGAAAAUAAUCAUGACAAUGGGCAUAAAAUAUAAAAAAAAAUAGAGAAAUAUGAUCUAAAUUAUCAUAGAAUACAGAUAUGAAAGACCCCAUCCAGACCCUAGUAAAUGCUGUAAGAUGUGUCGAUUAUUUCGCAUUUACGGAAAAAAUAAAUAUUUUUUUUAAAUCUUAUAGCCACAUAAUAAAUGGGUAGAUGGAUUGAUUUGUGUAAACGUCCAGUUGCAAAUACUACAUGAAUCUCAGGUGUAGGGAGAAAUGCACUAUUAUAAUAACACUGUACUAAAUUGUAAGCAGGUUUUCCUUUUGUACUUCAAAAUAUGAAAACAACGAUGUCAUUAAGAAUGAACUCUAAACUAGAAUAAAUAAGAUCAAAUCGAUAAACACGGUACGUUUUCUCAACCCAAG